AUUGGAAAAAUGCAGAAUGUCUGGUUAUUUUAGCCACACACAGCUCAAAACUGUUCCUCGUUUUAAGGAAGGGUGGUGUGGCAGUAUUUAAACCCAGGAGCUGAUGACACUACUGCUAAAAAAACACAGAAGAAAAAGUAGUGUGUUUGUGUUUGUGUGUGUGUGUGCGCGCGUGCGCGUGGUUCGUUCGUUCGUGUCUCCAGGCUAGUAAGUACUGAGGGCUUCAUCUAUCUAAAAGGAGUCAUUUUUAUCUGAAUGUGGCAGCACCGGGACACAGCAGCAGAGCGAAUAUGACGAUGACAUCAUGGAACUGGUCUUUGGAAAAGUUUUCCCUGAACCAACUCCGUUUCUAGAUGAGGUAGAGAAGAUCUGCAUCUCACCAACUCUCUGGUCUCAGUAUUCAGACAACGGAGGUCUCCCACUGUUAUCCAGGACCAGUUUGAAGCCCACAUACUGCCCCUCCCUCAUCAUCAGGAAACAUCAAUCCGUAUCCUGAGGACAACAGAAGACGGCAGGAGGACAGGAACUCUGAGACCUAGACACCACCAGCACCGAGACACAAAGCACCUGUGUGCACAACGCCUGUUUAACUACUAAAGCCUGUUUAUUAUAUUGUUCUACUUAUUUGCUGUGAGGUUAAUACUUAGAAAAUUUGUAUUUUAAUGUAAACAAUAAAAAAAUCACUGAUUGUAUGUUUUCUUUUAGAUGUAAUGGUCCAAACUCAGCCUUGUAGACAUUUAUUGCAUCCUGUAGGUAAAUACACAGAACAGGCUCAGGUCCAGGAUGACCCAGCAUGCUCUUCUUCCAUUCUGGCUGUUAGGGAUUGUAUCAAUAACUCAAUGCCUACUGAUGUUUCCACCUAACGGUAUUUAUUUAGAAUGCAGGUCAGAUUUAACUAUAUUUGUUAGCAAAGCAGACUGAUCUUGGGAAUUUCACUGCAGCACUGAUGUCCACCUCUCUGUACACAUUAGAGAGAAUUACCACUUUACAGCUAAACACAUUUAAUAAAGAUAUAGGCUACGCAUUGCAGACAAUAAAAACAAAGUUGUAAGCAUUAGAAUUAUAAUGAUCACAUUAAAGAACAUUUGGAGGAA